rnacentral:rRNA from 1 species
GAUGAACGCUGGCGGCGUGCCUAAUACAUGCAAGUCGAGCGAACAGACGAGGAGCUUGCUCCUCUGACGUUAGCGGCGGACGGGUGAGUAACACGUGGAUAACCUACCUAUAAGACUGGGAUAACUUCGGGAAACCGGAGCUAAUACCGGAUAAUAUAUUGAACCGCAUGGUUCAAUAGUGAAAGACGGUUUUGCUGUCACUUAUAGAUGGAUCCGCGCCGCAUUAGCCAGUUGGUAAGGUAACGGCUUACCAAGGCAACGAUGCGUAGCCGACCUGAGAGGGUGAUCGGCCACACUGGAACUGAGACACGGUCCAGACUCCUACGGGAGGCAGCAGUAGGGAAUCUUCCGCAAAGGGCGAAAGCCUGACGGAGCAACGCCGCGUGAGUGAUGAAGGUCUUCGGAUCGUAAAACUCUGUUAUUAGGGAAGAACAAAUGUGUAAGUAACUAUGCACGUCUUGACGGUACCUAAUCAGAAAGCCACGGCUAACUACGUG